UACGUAGGGUGCAAGCGUUGUCCGGAAUUAUUGGGCGUAAAGAGCUCGUAGGCGGUCUGUCGCGUCGGCUGUGAAAACCCAGGGCUCAACCCUGGGCCUGCAGUCGAUACGGGCAGACUAGAGUCCGGCAGGGGAGACUGGAAUUCCUGGUGUAGCGGUGGAAUGCGCAGAUAUCAGGAGGAACACCGGUGGCGAAGGCGGGUCUCUGGGCAGUAACUGACGCUGAGGAGCGAAAGCGUGGGGAGCGAACGGG
rnacentral:rRNA from 1 species